rnacentral:rRNA from 1 species
GACGAACGCUGGCGGCGUGCUUAACACAUGCAAGUCGAACGGAAAGGCCCUGCUUUUGUGGGGUGCUCGAGUGGCGAACGGGUGAGUAACACGUGAGUAACCUGCCCUUGACUUUGGGAUAACUUCAGGAAACUGGGGCUAAUACCGGAUAGGAGCUCCUGCUGCAUGGUGGGGGUUGGAAAGUUUCGGCGGUUGGGGAUGGACUCGCGGCUUAUCAGCUUGUUGGUGGGGUAGUGGCUUACCAAGGCUUUGACGGGUAGCCGGCCUGAGAGGGUGACCGGCCACAUUGGGACUGAGGUACGGCCCAGACUCCUACGGGAGGCAGCAGGGGGAAAUAUUGCGCAAUGGGCGGAAGCCUGAUGCAGCAACGCCGCGUGCGGGAUGACGGCCUUCGGGUUGUAAACCGCUUUCGACUGUGACGAAGCGUGAGUGACGGUAAUGGGUAAAGAAGCACCGGCUAACUACGUG